rnacentral:tRNA from 1 species
GCCUUCGUGGUGUAGUGGUCAGCACGCUCGACGCGUAACCGAGAGGUCCGUGGUUCGAUUCCCGGCGAAGCCG